rnacentral:rRNA from 1 species
UACGGAGGGGGCUAGCGUUGUUCGGAAUUACUGGGCGUAAAGCGCACGUAGGCGGAUUGUUAAGUCGGGGGUGAAAUCCCGGGGCUCAACCCCGGAAUGGCCUCCGAUACUGGCAAUCUUGAGGUCGGGAGAGGUGAGUGGAAUGGCGAGUGUAGAGGUGAAAUUCGUAGAUAUUCGCCGGAACACCAGUGGCGAAGGCGGCUCACUGGCCCGAUACUGACGCUGAGGUGCGACAGCGUGGGGAGCAAACAGG